rnacentral:rRNA from 1 species
AUUGAACGCUGGCGGAAUGCUUUACACAUGCAAGUCGAACGGCAGCACGGACUUCGGUCUGGUGGCGAGUGGCGAACGGGUGAGUAAUGUAUCGGAACGUGCCCAGUCGUGGGGGAUAACGUAGUGAAAAUUACGCUAAUACCGCAUACGAUCUAUGGAUGAAAGCGGGGGAUCGCCAGACCUCGCGCGAUUGGAGCGGCCGAUAUCAGAUUAGGUAGUUGGUGGGGUAAAGGGCCACCAAGCCAACGAUCUGUAGCUGGUCUGAGAGGACGACCAGCCACACUGGAACUGAGACACGGUCCAGACUCCUACGGGAGGCAGCAGUGGGGAAUUUUGGACAAUGGGCGAAAGACUGAUCCAGCCAUUCCGCGUGCAGGAUGAAGGCCCUCGGGUUGUAAACUGCUUUUGUACAGAACGAAAAGGUUUCUACUAAUACUAGGAGCUCAUGACGGUACUGUAAGAAUAAGCACCGGCUAACUACGUGCCAGCCGCCGCCGUAA